AAGACACUGUCAGUUGCAUUUGCAAACUGUGGGAUGAUGUUCAGGGCAGCCAGUGAUGGUGUCCGCUAACUUCUUUGGUAUGCAGUUUCUCACCUUUGGCCAUAAUGUAUCACAUCUAUGGACAACCAUAUCCUUUUGUACUGAUAUCCUUACUGUGGUGGUUUAAAAGAAAAUGGCCCCCAAAGGGAGGGGCACUAUUAGGAGGUGUGACCUUGUUGGAGUAGGCUCUCAAAGAGGUUUAUCUAUCAAGGAUCAGCCGUGGCAUGAUUCCCACGCACUGGAAUCCAUUUCCCUGGCUUCUGAAUGUGAUCUGUGACUCGGCUUUCGCUGGAUAAAGUGCCAAGCUGCAUUCUAGGAAACACUCAAGAUCAGGAAUCACCAAGCACUGUGUGCCCUUCAGUAUGGCUUCACAUUCUUUUCCCACUAAGGACAUAAAACAAAAACAAGAACCCACACAGGGCAAACUUUGUAAAUUGCAUUAUAAAACCAAUGUCUGCUUUGUGAGCACAUAUGAAUUUUGCUGCCUGUUGGAAUUAAACCACAUAAAUGUUCCUUGCAAAUUUAAUGUCUGAUGUGACUGCACAUUUUAGUUUUCCCGGGAAAGGUGCGAUACAGAACUAUUGUACUGACAUAAUUAUCAUACAACUAACCUUCUACUCUCAAACAUUGGAGUAAAUAUCAAACUACAAGGUUUGUUCUAG
rnacentral:lncRNA from 1 species